rnacentral:rRNA from 1 species
UACGAAGGGGGCUAGCGUUGCUCGGAAUGACUGGGCGUAAAGAGCUCGUAGGCGGUUUGUCGCGUCUGCUGUGAAAACUGGAGGCUCAACCUCCAGCCUGCAGUGGGUACGGGCAAACUAGAGUGCGGUAGGGGAGAUUGGAAUUCCUGGUGUAGCGGUGGAAUGCGCAGAUAUCAGGAGGAACACCGAUGGCGAAGGCAGAUCUCUGGGCCGUAACUGACGCUGAGGAGCGAAGGCCAGGGGAGCAAACGGG